GCUCGUAUAGUGAUAACGGUUAGCACGUCUGUUUUGUAAUCAGACAGUCCGGGUUCGAUUCCUGGUACGAGCUCCA
rnacentral:tRNA from 1 species